rnacentral:rRNA from 1 species
AGUGGCGGACGGGUGAGUAAUGCUUAGGAAUCUGCCUAGUAGUGGGGGAUAACCCGGGGAAACUCGGGCUAAUACCGCAUACGCCCUACGGGGGAAAGCGGGGGACUUUCGGGCCUCGUGCUAUUAGAUGAGCCUAAGUCCGAUUAGCUAGUUGGUAGGGUAAUGGCCUACCAAGGCGACGAUCGGUAGCUGGUCUGAGAGGACGACCAGCCACACUGGGACUGAGACACGGCCCAGACUCCUACGGGAGGCAGCAGUGGGGAAUUUUGGACAAUGGGCGCAAGCCUGAUCCAGCGAUGCCGGGUUGUUGAAGAAGGGCUGCGGGUUGUAAAGCACUUUCAGUAGGGAAGAAAAGCCGAGUGCUAAUAUCACUCGGUCUUGACGUUACCUACAGAAAAAGCACCCGCUAACUCCGUGGCAGCAGCCGCGGUAAUACGGAGGGUGCGAGCGUUAAUCGGAAUUACUGGGCGUAAAGGGCGCGUAGGCGGUUUGGUAAGUCGGUGUGAAAGCCCCGGGCUCAACCUGGGAAUUGCAUUCGAUACUGCCUGGCUAGAGUAUGGUAGAGGGAAGCGGAAUUCCGGGUGUAGCGGUGAAAUGCGUAGAUAUCCGGAGGAACGCCAGUGGCGAAGGCGGCUUCCUGGACCAAUACUGACGCUGAGGCGCGAAAGCGUGGGGAUCAAACAGGAUUAGAUACCCUGGUAGUCCACGCCCUAAACGAUGAGAACUAGCCGUUGGAGGAGCUUUGUCCUUUAGUGGCGCAGCUAACGCGAUAAGUUCUCCGCCUGGGGAGUACGGCCGCAAGGUUAAAACUCAAAGGAAUUGACGGGGGCCCGCACAAGCGGUGGAGCAUGUGGUUUAAUUCGAUGCAACGCGAAGAACCUUACCUGCCCAUGACAUCCUCGGAACUUUCCAGAGAUGGAUUGGUGCCUUCGGGAACCGAGAGACAGGUGCUGCAUGGCUGUCGUCAGCUCGUGUCGUGAGAUGUUGGGUUAAGUCCCGUAACGAGCGCAACCCUUGUCCUUAGUUGCCAGCGGGUAAUGCCGGGAACUCUAAGGAGACUGCCGGUGUCAAACCGGAGGAAGGUGGGGAUGACGUCAAGUCAUCAUGGCCCUUAUGGGCAGGGCUACACACGUGCUACAAUGGCCGGUACAAAGGGUUGCCAACCCGCGAGGGGGAGCUAAUCCCAAAAAACCGGUCGUAGUCCGGAUCGGAGUCUGCAACUCGACUCCGUGAAGUUGGAAUCGCUAGUAAUCGCGAAUCAG